rnacentral:lncRNA from 1 species
AAUAUUCAUCUUUUUUGCUUAUCGUAGCUUGAUGCUUUGAUUGGCUCGUUGAAUUCGAAGGGUGAGAGGGAAGGAGCUCUUAAAAAGCAGCAUGAGAAAAACUACAACAAAAUAAAGUAAGUUGUUCAUGACCUUGUACAAAAAUUGUUACUUUCUCAUUUUUCAUGCCUCAAGUAAGGGGUGGAGGGGUGGCAUGGGGAGGGGGAAGUGGGAGAAAGCAAAAUGUGGGUGUGAAUUCUCGUGAGUUUAGCCAUUAUUGAUUGCUAAACUGAACAUUAAACUUGUGUCUUGUCCCGGGCAAAAAGUAAGCUAUCAUGGUUUGCUGUAGAUCUUUAUAUUUAUAUGUGGUUUAAUAUUGAACAAUAUGAAUAUUAUUGCCUUUUGCUCUGGAAGUUAUUUUUUGAUUUAUUUUGCUGCAAUUUUACUUCUGUUGGUUUUCUGUGCCGUGCAAAUUUCUUUUUCUUAUCAGUCAAAAGUUGUUUUUUCUCUUUUGAUUGGCUUUUUACAUCCUCAGUUGAGAAUUAACAUUGCACUCUGGUGAAACUAGCCAAUCAUUUUCACUAGUUGCAUACUAUAUGAGACUGUUUAGCAUGUUUGGCCAAGUUUUUAAUUUUAUUGAUGUAAAAAUAACAAUAUUGUGUUGAAGUGAACAGAAUCUGAAUGUUUUGUUUGCUGUUCAAACAUUUAUGUUUGGUUUUAUAUUCGGUUAUUUUGAGUAACUUGAUUGCACUGUGCAAGGGAAUUUCAUUAAAAAUGUUGUUUAGUUGUUUGAUGUAGUGUGUAAUAUGUAUGUCGUUUGUGUGUAGCAUGCCGGGAAAGAACUUCGGACUUUGUCAUAGCUGUAGAGAGAAGGGUCACUUAUUUGCGAAUUGUCCGUCCAAACAAAAGAUGAUGCUCCUUGUGUAAAUGUGGAAUUGUGAAGUGCUUCGAGGUCGAGAGGGAGACAAAGAACAAGGGAAGAUUGUUUGAGUGCUGCAGUGCUAAUUGUAAAUAGUGGGCAUAGGUCGAUGAGGGAGAAUCAAGCAGUGGGUCAAGUAAUAUUACCGCUAACUCGAAUAAUCAUGCAGCACUUGAAGAUGUUCAGCAGUUCUCUCGCGUGUUCCAGUCUCUUUGUCACGUGGUCUCUAAGGAACGAAACAUUGAGAUUUCUUUGAAUGUGACAAUAAGGAAUGCCAACGAAAGUGUAGAAGUGGAUGUGAAAGGGAAGGGGCCAACAUGAUUAGUGGUUAGCUGAAUAAGUGACUAGUGUAGUUGAUGUAUUCUGUUAAUAUUGGUGUUUGCACUAAGGUGUUGGCCAGAAAAUUAUUCCUCGCAAACGGUCAUGUUCUUAUCUUAAUGUGAUUAUUCUGGCUUGAAGUUAUUUUUAUGCAAAGCUAGG